AUAUGGAGGAACUACAACUUAAUGGUUACUGAAAAAGUAUAUCUUUUUGAAUUGCCAAAUAGCUGUAUCUCACUAUCUUAAAUUCAAAAUUUCAAUUUCUUCUCUCUCUCUCAGUCCUUUCUCUCAUUCUUUCUCUCUUCCUUUCUCACUUUCUCUCUCACGUUUCUUCUCUUCCCUUUCCUUUUUCUUUCUUUCUUCUUUACAAACCGGAUGGUACUCUAUGAUACUCUUGGAGCGUUUCUGGUAUGUCCACGGAAACUUACGGAGCUUCGAAACUACUGAAGAUGUUGUAGUUAUUGUAUGUCACUCUUCAUGUUAGGGUUUGUGGUGAAUUUUGUGCAGGGAGGAUUUGGAGUAUAUAAAGGGUUUUGGUUUUGUGGCUAGGGUUCAAUAACGGGAAAAUUACGGUUUUAAGUUUAUAGAUUUAUCAUCGGUGUUCGGUCGAAGAGGUUGCCGGUUUGAACAUUGUUGCUGUUUUAUUGUUAUAGUGCCCACAAAAUCAAUGUUUUGUUGUUGUUGGUCGUAAACAAGCAUCUUUGAAAUUGCCUUUAAUGGUGGGAACAUAUUCGGUGUCGGCUUUGCUUCGUCAAGUGCAGGUUGGGAAUUUUCGUAAGCUUGCUAUCUUGAUAUGAAACAUGACUAACUUUCCAAUAACAGUUCCAAGUUCCAAAAGAAUUUUGUUUAUAUAUGAUCCUUCUUUUCUUCUUCUAAAUUUUAUGUCAUUAGAAUCUUUCAGGCAAGUAGAAUUGAUUUGUUUGAUAUAGUACUUAUUUCUUAAAGGUUUCAGUAAUUAUUUAUUAAUUGCGGCAGGCCGACACGUACUUGAUGUUGCUAACCACUAAUUUAGAUGCAUUUUAUCAUCUUAAAGACUGUUGGUAAAUGAUGAUUCAAUCUUACUAUUGUUACUGGUGAUGCAUACUUUAACUAUAUUUUCUUCCACAUGAUACUUUGCAAAGGUACUGGUUCAAAUGUAUAACUUGGAGGUACUGAAUAGUUGAAUGAAAUAUAUAUAAGUUUUGAUCUAAAAUUAUUUAGUAAGUUAUUGUGGAUUUUCUUGGGUUGGUUUAUAAUUUGGCAUGGGAGUAAGUCAUUUCAUUUGAGAAUUUCAAGCUUAAAACAGAUUCAAAGUGAUUUAAUUUGAGUUACUGGUUUCAAGGUUUUGAGAGUUAAACUAAUUGCAAAAUGUUGUUGUAUGUUUUAACAUAAUGAGUUAAAAUAUAAAUGAUUACCUUAGAAAUCACAAGGUCAUGUUCACGUACAAUGAAUGUCUAAUUUCAAGGAAGCUUACUGCAGAAGGUAAUCCUUAGAUUCAUGUGGAAAGGUAGUUUUACUAUACAAGUUCCCUCCAUGUGUUGCUAACUGGACUAAUAAUAUUCAAUUGCAAUUCUAUUUGUUUGAACUAAGACUUUUAUCAUAGCUCUGUACUCAUUGAAUUUUUUGAGUUCUGAUUUUCUAUUUCCAUCAGGGUUCGGGGUGAUCCGCUUGCUAUGUCGACUAUGGUGAGACUGAGAUUAAUUGUAAGUUGAAAUUCCACCUUAAUUGAUUCUGGUUUGAAUACCAUUGGAAUUUUUUCGUUUUCUAUGGUUGUUGCUUGGAGCAAAGGGGUGUCAAUCGAAAUCGGGGAGACGGCGGUGGCUAAAGCAUUUCCUGCGGUUUUACAAUGGUCUGUGAUGGUAGAACUACUUGUGGGAUGUGUUGAUAUCUACACCAUUUCACCAUGCCUAUGUUACCGCCGAAAGAAUUAAGAAAGCCAAGAAUUUAGAGUUACUUCUGACUGCCGAAGGAACAAUUGGUGCUAGACGAAUCGGGAAACUUUUACUCCAAAGGCUGAAACCUUUUAACUAUAACCUUUUAUAUCAUGAUAGACUCAAAAUGGAGCCUGAAUUGGAGAAAGAAAUUGAAGCUAAGUUUGAAGAGGACGUUGAUAAAAUGCUUCCAAAGUGCGAUGUAAUUGUUAUCAACAUGCCUCUCCUUGAUAAGUUAAAGUAUGAGGUGGUGUUAUAAUGUUAGAGUAGUCAUUUAUGGGGCCACUUAUGAUAUUCCAUCAGUAUAUGAUGGUUUAAUUCCUCACAUGAAUGUGUUUUAGUAUCAUUAAUUCUUUUAGAAGUUAUGUAACUUUUUGUUGUCUUAGUAAAUAAUAAACAUACAAAUUGUGUUUAUAUCAGUAGAUAGGAUGGAAAGAGCAUAAUGGUGUUUCAUGUGUGGUCUUUUGUUGGUCUGUCAAACCGUCUCUAAAAUGCUUAUGUCAGUAGAUAGACUUAAAUAAGUCAAUCUUAAGAGGCAUUUCAUUGCUAAUAAUAGGAUGGAAAGAGCAUAGUGAUGUUUCAUGUGUGGUAUUUUGGUGAAAUGUUUUAUGUCCCUGUAUAUUGAUGUAAUACAUCCAUUAGACUUUCUAAACCAGUUUUACUUUAUUUUGUAAUUUUCUUUAACCUUGUCAAAUCAUAAAUAGUUUUACUUUAUUUCCAAAUGGAGCAUGCACCAGUUGAUACAAAUCAAUUAUAUUGGCCUUCUAAAUGUUUUGUUCUUAUGUUGCAGGAGUAUUGUUGGAUGACAUGUUGCUGAUCUUGGUGUUCCUGAAACAACAUAUGUUGCUACUACAGCGGCUAAUGGAACAUUCUCCAAAGUUUAUUACGUGAAGAAUCUCAAAACUGGCGAAGGCGUAGCUAUAAAAGUAAUGGACAAGGAGAUCGUUUUCAUGCCGAAGUCUUAGUUUCAUAAAGUCUUCUACUUUUAUGACAUAGGGUUUAAAGUUUCAUAACUACUUUCAAACACACUCAAAUUUGUUUCCUCUUUCAUGCAUCCCUUUAAAAUCUAUUUGAAACUUUGCACACCACAUGUUUGGGAUUGUUACAAUUUAAAACCUUCACUUAUAUAGCAGAUUGAAGUAAA